AUCGAACGCUGGCGGCAGGCCUAACACAUGCAAGUCGAGCGGAGCGGCGGACGGGUGAGUAAUGCCUAGGAAUCUGCCUGGUAGCGGGGGAUAACGUCCGGAAACGGGCGCUAAUCCCGCAUACUAUCAGAUGAGCCUAGGUCGGAUUAGCUAGUGGGUGGGGUAAAGGCCUACCAGGGCGACGAACCGUGACUGGUCUGAGAGGAUGAUCAGCAACAUUGGAACUGAGACACGGUCCAGACUCCUACGGGAGGCAGCAGUGGGGAAUAUUGGAAAAUGGGCGAAAGCCGGAUCCAGCCAUGCCGCGUGUGUGAGGAAGGUCUUCGGAUUGUAAAGCACUUUAAGUUGGGAGGCGUUACCAACAGAAUAAGCACCGGCUAACUUCGUGCCAGCAGCCGCGGUAAUAC
rnacentral:rRNA from 1 species